GACGAACGCUGGCGGCGUGCUUAACACAUGCAAGUCGAACGGAAAGGCCCUGCUUGUGUGGGGUGCUCGCGUGGCGAACGGGUGAGUAACACGUGAGUAACCUGCCCUUGACUUUGGGAUAACUUCAGGAAACUGGGGCUAAUACCGGAUAGGUGCUCCUGCUGCAUGGUGGGGGUCGGACAGUUUCGGCGGUUGUGGAUGGACUUGCGGCUUAUGAGCUUGUUGGGGGGGUAGUGGCCUACCAAGGCUUCGACGGGUAGCCGGCCUGAGAGGGUGAACGGCCACAUGGCGCCUGAGAGACGGCGCAGACUGCAACGGGAGGCAGCAGUGGGAAAUAUAGCACAGUGGGCGGAAGCCUGAGGCGGCAACGCCGCGUGCGGGAUGACGGCUUUCGGGUUGUAAACCGCAUUCGCCUGUGACGAAGCGUGAGUGACGGUAAUGGGUAAAGAAGCACCGGCUAACUACGUG
rnacentral:rRNA from 1 species